GUCUAGCAAAAAGUCGUGCGCAGUUUACGCCGAUGCGCACCACUGCGGCAGAUAGCAGAACUAAACUUUUUAUUACGCUUGACAAAAACCGUAUCUGAUAUCCUUUAUUCGAGAAUCUAACUGUCAUCUGACAGUUAUAGUUUUCCACAUGUUGUAAGACACAUCGUAAAAACUUGAGAGUUAAUAAUAAGAUGCCUGAAAAUAGAGUUUGUGUUAUUUGCGGUGAAUAUUAUAGAAGGUUGAGAAAAGUUUCUUUUUUUUCUAUCCCUAAACUGGAUAAAAAUGUGCAAAAGUGAUAGAGAGUUAGUUGAAAGAAGAAUUGCGGCUUGGAUGGCAGUUAUUGGAUCUAAUAUUAAUAAGUACUAUGGUGCACCCUCUGUGUGUGCUUUACAUUUUCAUUCAGGCAAACCAGCAUCUGGGUUCCGUCAAAGAAUUUAACUAACAUAAAUCAACAGGACAAACAAGAGAAUGAUUUUGAUUCAGACUUAUCACGUACAUGUUUUGGUGCUAGUUUUUU